UUUCUGUGUGUACAGGAGAGUGUGUUUGAGGAGAUUGAGGACAAGCAGAUUGUCUUUCAGGUGGUGGAGAGUCAUGUGGGAGAGGGCGUGAUCCUCAGUAGCUCCACCUCCGGCCUGUUGCCCAGCAACGUCUUCUCCCGGCUCCAGAACCGGAAGCGCUGCAUCAUAUCUCAACCGGUCUGGAGGGCUAUCUCCAGGGCUACAGAGAGGGCAUGAGGAGUGUUCUGAUCGCUUUUGGACCUGUUCCCGAGUUCUCUGGGGAGGCCGCCGAGCGCAUCAACAAAGAGAUGUGUGAGCUGACCCGCAGCACCUGUCUGCUAGAAGAGAGAGGAGGGAUCAGCUCCUCAUGGGCCUGGCCAAGCUCAAGAAGUGACCACUGGAUUAUCAACACCACUGAUGUACAAGAUGGACUUGUGUCUGGGACUCUUCUGUCCAUCACUCAGGCCUUCACUGACCCUCACUCAGCCUGAGGAGCAUGGUGAUGAGAAUGAUCUGAUCUCUCAAUGGUACCUACACUGGGAAUGGUAAUGAAUACUGUAGCCCUGAGUCCUCACACACAAUCGCUCAACUAAUCUGGGAUGUUACAGUAGGAGCCCACACACACAAUAAACCAAUCUGGGGAUUGAUUGCCAUGCCUUCUCAGAAAUAUAUCCAUGUUUUAUGCAAUCAACAAGUUGAUGAUCAGACAAAGGAAGUAAUGGUUUGGUCAUACCACAAUGGUUUCUUGAAUUGUGAAUAUGAAUUGUUAAUGUGAUAAACUUGUUUAAUGAUUUUUAAAUAUUUUUUUAUUAAUGUUGAAUUUCUCUAGGAUUGCAAUACAUUUGAAUUGUCCUUAUCAAGAACUAAAGAUAAACUCAAAUCAAAAUCAAAUCAAAUUUAUUUAUAUAGCCCUUCGUACAUCAGCUGAUAUCUCAAAGUGCUGUACAGAAACCCAGCCUAAAACCACAAACAGCAAGCAAUGCAGGUGUUGAAGCACAGUGGCUAGGAAAAACUCCCUAGAAAGGCCAAAACCUAGGAAGAAACCUAGAGAGGAACCAGGCUAUGUGGGGUGGCCAGUCCUCUUCUGGCUGUGCCGGGUGGAGAUUAUAACAGAACAUGGCCAAGAUGUUCAAAUGUUCAUAAAUGACCAGCAUGGUCGAAUAAUAAUAAGGCAGAACAGUUGAAACUGGAGCAGCAGCACGGUCAGGUGGACUGGGGA